rnacentral:lncRNA from 1 species
UUUGGAAAGGAAAUUAUCAUAAUUAAAAUUAUUUGACAUAUAUAAUUAAUAUAAAAGAUAUAUAGAUCCACAUCGACCCAACUAUCAGCUAGGAAUGGAAUGGAAUAGAAUAGGAUGAGGGAAUCAUUAAUAAAAUAAAUAAAAUAGUAAUGUUUCCCGAUAGAUUCAGACCCUCUUUGCUUCUGGACGUUUCUACCUUUUUAAUACAGGUAAUUCAACUCAGCGGUUACAAAGAAAAAGCAAUAAGCAAAUUACAACGUAUACGAAGGCAGUUUCUUUCACCCAUCUAAACAUUCACAAAAAAACCAAGUGUCCUGGUCUCAUCCUCUAGAACCAAAAAAGCUUGGACUGGCUCCACCAUCAGAUUUGUGUGAGCCUGUUCUAGCAUACUAGCAACAAACACAAAGAAUUGAAUCAGAAUAUAAAAUGCUUAACUGGAAUAAAGAAAUGCUAAACCCAAAAUGAAUCUUUGCUGCAAAUAUUAUUAAAUUGAUACCUCAGCACUACUUAAAUGCCAGUUAACUAUUAUUAAACUACUUUGUCACUGCACAAGAAUGUGAACACGACCUCUAAAAGAGGUGAUGUCAAUGUGCGGUGUUGUCUGCGGUUUUUACAGGGAUGUGACAUGGAUAAAAAUGACCUGAGUAGGCUAGCUGCAUAGUCUAACAACCACAUGUUUGUUUUGUGUACAAAUUAGAAGCACAGAUAUAAAGGUAGGAAAGUGUGAAUUAAGUGUACCCAUGCUCUUAUGGUAUGUUUGCAAUACAGAAAAAAGGAGGAACAUGUCUAAUGAAAGGAGCAACAUAUGGGAUCUAGUAGGAAUGCUCCUAUUCUGUCAUAGUUCAGAUCAUGUUACAAAAACUGAACAAUAGUUCCAAAGAACUUGCUUUUAGAUCUAGUAGGAAUGCUGCUAUCUCUCUAUGACAUACUAAAAAUUAGAUGUUCAAUAACAUUGCCUAAAAAAGUAUACUAUUUUGCUUUUACAGUGCCAUAUUAUUGCCUAAUUGAGAACCACAUAACUGCCUAAUUUAGCCCAUAUCGUAUAUGUACUCUCAAGAUGACUGCACACAUAGGAUUUACUCCCAUAUGGUCAGAUCAGGCAAAAUAACUAGGUUCUGUGUUAAAUACCAGUACUGACUAUAUGAGAUGGCUUAUAACUGAAAUAGAAAUAAAAGGAAAUAUGUCUAGUCUGACACUACCUUUCAGUUGCUAAGAUCAGCAACUCAUUAGAAUUAUAUGGUAACAUAUGUCAUCAAGCUAGAAUUUCAUCAGAAUGCCUUUUGGUAUAUUAGAACCAUGGUGAACUAAAUCCUGUUAUGUCCUUGACAAGCAUAAGCUAUUUAAGCAGCUAGAUAUACUCACAUCAUCAAGUUCUGCAUGGGGUUGACAGUACCGCAAAACAACAACAUAAUAUACUUUCCAGCGCUUUCUUAGCCGCCUUCUCCUCCAGCGCUUUCUUGUCCCUACCAGCAAAGAUCCCACAAGCCGGAUCAGAAGAGGGUCAGCAGGAACGAACCGAGAUUCGGUCGUAUCGGACACCGAACAAAUCAAGCAAGAAACGUAAGGGGAAUAGAAUCAAAUCGACGAGACGCACCUCUCGCGGCGCUGCUCCGGGGUGAGCCCGUCCUGGGGCCCCUUGGCGUUGGGCUUCCGCGCCGCCGCACGCUCGCGGUCGCGGUCCCUCUGAUUGCCGCGUUCGCGCGAGUCAAGGACGAAGCAACAGAGCAAGAACAGAUUCGAAACAACAACGGGAGCGGGCGGCGCGUGGGGGCGGGCGGCGGGGGAGG